rnacentral:lncRNA from 1 species
ACUACAAAAGCAUCUUCCAGAAGUUAAGUCUUCUAUCAUCUUCAUUAUACCCACAGGGCUUACUGCUUAAUAGAUUUCAAAUAUUUUUGAAUAUAUUAAUUGUAUAAAGAAAGCUUCCCGUUAAAGGUUAGGUUUACCUCAAAUGAAUUCUUAGAUAUGUAGAUGAUCCUUUGUGCAAUAGUAUAUUUUUAAGGUCAUACAUUAAGCAUAAUUACUUUUUUGACAUACCUUAACAUUGACAUACUUUUGAAAAUUGAAACUACCAGUGGAUGUGUAAAACUAAUUAGGAUUCACCUAUUUGCAUUUCCUCACUACGUUUUGAUUUUAUUUGAGCCAAUAUAAGUUAUUCUACUUGUAAUACAUAUUAAUCAUCUUUCCUUACAUGGUAGUAUAACCAGCCUUGGUAUAUAUUUUUCUCAAAAAUUUGAAGAUGAUUUUUCACUAUUUACUGUGGAAACAUAAAGAGAGUACAGUGAUUUCCCCAAGUAUCCAUUGCUUGCCUAUAGCAAUCAUGUAAUUGUAUUUUUUAUCAAUUAUUAUAAUAUACCUGCCAUUUUAUUGUUUGCCAUAUGUAUUCAAUACUAAAAAUCUAAAUAUUUUUUUGUUUUAAAACUUUAAAAAAGGGCUGGAGAGAUGGCUUAGCCAUUAAAGGCUAGGCUCACAACCAAAAGUAUAAAACUUUUAAAAAAAUCAUAAUACCUUUUUAUUACAGAAAAAUUAAUAAUGGUUAAUGUCAAAACCAUGCAGUAUUUAAAAUCCUCUUUGUAUGUACAAUAUAUUUAUUGACACCUGUGUGCUAUCAUCUGUUUUAUAGUUCUUUGUAUUCUUCUUGGGGUUGUGCCAUUUAUGGUGAUUCUUGAUGUAGCCAUGUUGUUCUCCCUGUGUCUUAAGUAUCAUUGGCAUGGUGAGAGCAAAAGCUACUGCAAUGCCCCUUUGGGUAUGUGGUGAGGAGUGGUCAUCUAGUAUCUCUCUAGUGGGUUGGUAGCUGACUUCUGAUCCAUCUGCUUUCUUUCUGAUUAAUAGGGGUUACAACUAAUAGACUAGUGGACUGGAGUUCCUUCAAAAGGUUAUAAUAGGUAAUGGUCUAGACUCACAUUCUACCCUGGUCUGAAAUAAAAUCUAUAAUUCUAUCCUCAAGUUGGUCAGACUCCACUUGUGUUUGUGUAGAGGUGGUGCAGAGGGUUAUUAGUCACAAUUAGCACACUUCAAGCUCCAGUUUAGGUCAGUGGUUAGUGAAGUAGCCUCAAGCAGUUUGGGGAACCUCUAUUGAGGGCUCAUUGAGUCAGCAUCUUUGCUUCAUCUUAAAUGGGAGAUUACUGGGGAUGUAGCUCAGUGGUAAAGCAUUUACCUAGUGUUUGUGAGGGCCUGGGUUCAAUCACCAACAUUGUGAGAACAGAAUAGCCAAGCAGGCUUGAGUUUAAAUGGGAGAUUACAUUUUCUGAAAAAAGCAGGUAGCUGUCUUUCCAUGCACAACCUAAAUGUUACCAGGGUGAGGCAGUUACACUAUUGAAUACAUUUGGUUUUGAUUAGUGUUAAUGUUUUCAAUGAAAAUGACCCCCAUAGUCUCAUAGGGAAUGACACUAAUAGGAGGUGUGUCCUUGUUGAAAGUAGGUGUACCUUAUUGGAGGAAGUUUGUCACUGGGAGUGGGAUUGAGGUUUCAGAAGAUCAAGCAAGGCCUAGUGGUUCAUUCUCUUGCCUACUGAUCCAGAUGUAAAGCUCAGUCCUUUCUCUAACACUGUGUCUGCCUGCCUAGAUGAUAGAUGCUUCCCACCAUAAUGAUAAUGGACUAAACCUCUGAACUGUAAGCCAACCCCAAUUAAAUGUUUUCGUUUAUAAGAGUUGCUGUGGUCAUAGUGUCUCUUCACAGAAAUAGAAACCCAAAAUAAGACAAUUAGCAAGACCUGUUAGGCAGGGCACAUUUUUUUUUUCAAAUACCCAAAAUCCAAUAAAAUGAUAGCCCCUUUACCAGAGGUGAUAGAGUUGAAUUUCCUUGAUGUAAGAUACUGAGAAGCUUGGUGUUUAAAACUGUGUUGGUAUCUUUACUUCCCCUUGCUGGCAGAAAUGCAGUAACAUUACUUCCAUCACUACUCUAUAGCUCCUGGUUCACUUCUGGUACCCCUCAAGGGCACUAUGGCUCUGCCCUGCAUCCUUACCACUCUGGACAACCUUUGGACCAAAUGCACCUCCCAUAAGAGAUAGGGUAAGAUGAGGAUGCUGCUACAGAGUUGCAAUCCUUAUGAUAUUCUCCAUUAGACAGAAGGCCCAGGGGUAGAAUCAGAGGCACUUUCUUUUCUGGCAUGCCUGUGUGGGCUCAAUGGAUAGAUUACAACAUUUCUACUCUACGCAAGGCUCUGUAAUACUAUUUUUGACCAGAAACCCAGGGGAUGUAGGCCCACCCAUUGUUUGUGAUCAUUCUUAUAACAGGCUAACAAGACUCCUUCAAAUGACCCCUUGUUUGGCAUGACCCCUCAACACUCUAGACAUUGGUAAGCAGUUUUGAGGUUUUUGACUCCCCCGUAUGCCCCGUCAUUUGGGCCAGAGCCCUUGCUACUGGAUCUGGGAAGUUAAUGUCUCAUAGAUUAUGACAGACUAGACAUAAUUCAAAUGGAUUCAGCAAAGAAAGAGCUAUGUAAUUCUAGUUACUCUAGUUUUAAGGUGUGUGUUGUGGUUUUUGAAGGUAGAAGUCUGUAGUUAAUUAUUAAGAAUAUCCUCCUCAUUUUUUUCAUAUUUGUCAGAAAAAAAUGUACACAACUAAGGGUUAAGCUCUUAUUUUAAACCUGUACUUUUUUGUUUGAGAAAAUAUCACAAAUCUCUUCCUGAAACAUUGAUAUACAAAUGAAUUUGAAAUUUUUUUCGUACAGUGUUUCAUCUGAGAGGGAAGUUUUAGAAAGCAGGGAAAUGAACCUGCUUCCUAAAUUAGUAGUUUUCUUUCUUUUUGACAUGAGAACUUGACUUUGUGAAAUAGAGCCUUUAUUUAAAAUAUUCUCUUUGGUCAGUUAAUCAGAUUUCUGUGAACUGUUGGAAAACUUUUAGUUCUGGACCUGAUUUCCCAGAAUCUAUGCAGUGUUGCUUAGACCCUGUCCUGCUUUUAUUCUUCUUAGGAGCUGGAGAAUUUGAAGAAAAGCCAGCCUGCCUGCCUUCUUUUCCUUUGUCAUUUCUUCCUCCUACUCCUUUCUGUUCUCAGUACCACUUUUCACAUUUUUGAUGUAUCAAAACUAUCUCCUUUUUCCAAUAAUAAAAUGUUAAGAAAUUAUGUGAUUACUAAGAGCAUAAGUUCUGAUCCUUGCUUACACAAGGGAAUCACCUGUAGAAUUUUAAAUGUUGAUGUGUGGCUCUUGUCCUAAUGGUUUUUACUACACUGGUCCAAGAUGGCAUUGUGGCAUGCUGAGGUUUCACAUACCUCGGAUUUUCUUGAUGAUCAGUGAAGACAGAACCACCGAAGAGUUGGAAGUAGGUGCUGAGAAAAUUACAAUUCUGUUAACAAGUG